rnacentral:rRNA from 1 species
UACGUAGGGGGCUAGCGUUGUCCGGAAUCAUUGGACGUAAAGCGCGCGUAGGCGGUCAGGUAAGUCCGGUGUGAAAGUCAAAGGCUCAACCUUUGAAUGCCGCUGGAUACUGCCUGACUUGAGUCCGGAAGGGGCGAGUGGAAUCCUGGUGUAGCGGUGAAAUGCGCAGAUAUCAGGAAGAACACCCGUGGCUAAGGCGGUUCUCUAGUACGGUACUGACGCUGAGACGCGAAAGCGUGGGGAGCGAACAGG